UACGUAGGGGGCAAGCGUUGUCCGGAAUCAUUGGGCGUAAAGCGCGUGUAGGCGGUUCGGUAAGUCCGCUGUGAAAGUCGGGGGCUCAACCCUCGGAUGCCGGUGGAUACUGUCGAGCUUGAGUACGGAAGAGGCGAGUGGAAUUCCUGGUGUAGCGGUGAAAUGCGUAGAGAUCGGGAGGAACACCCGUGGCGAAGGCGGCCAUCUGGACCAGCACUGACGCUGAGGCACGAAAGCGUGGGGAGCAAACAGG
rnacentral:rRNA from 1 species